rnacentral:rRNA from 1 species
ACUCAAAUGAAUUGACGGGGACCCGCACAAGCGGUGGAGCGUGUUCUUUAAUUCGACGAUAAGCGAAGAACCUUACCAGGGCUUGACAUCCUUGGAACCCCGACGAAAGUCGGGGGUGCCUUUUGGAACCAAGUGACAGGUGUUGCAUGGCCGUCGUCAGCUCGUGUCGUGAGAUGUUUGGUUAAGUCCAUUAACGAGCGCAACCCUUAUGAUUAGUUGGAUUUUUCUAAUCAGACUGCCUCGGUAACGGGGAGGAAGGAGGGGAUGAUGUCAGGUCAUUAUUACCCUUACGUCCUGGGCUAGAAACGCGCUACAAUGGCCGGUACAGAGGGCUGCCAACCCGUGAGGGGGAGCAAAUCCCAUCAAAGCCGGUCCCAGUUCGGAUUGCAGGCUGAAAUUCGCCUGCAUGAAGCCGGAAUCGCUAGUAAUCGUGGGUCAGCACACCACGGUGAAUACGUUCCCGGGUCUUGCACACACCGCCCGU